UACCAUGAUAAGGGCAAUUCUUUUGAAGCUCCUUGAAUCUAUCCCAGACAUCUGAGAAACUUUCAUCUUCUUCUUGCUUAAAACCCUAUAUCUUGCUAUGUAGGCG
rfam:Helianthus annuus linkage group 16, whole genome shotgun sequence.